rnacentral:rRNA from 1 species
ACCCCGGGAGGGGAGUGAAAUAGUACCUGAAACCGAUUGCCUACAAUCCGUCGGAGCCUUCCUUUUGGGGGGGUGACGGCGUGCCUUUUGAAGAAUGAGCCUGCGAGUUAGUGGUGUGUGGCGAGGUUAACCCGUGUGGGGGAGCCGUAGCGAAAGCGAGUCCGAACAGGGCGUUGAGUCGCAUGCUCUAGACCCGAAGCGAAGUGAUCUAUCCAUGGCCAGGGUGAAGCGACGGUAAGACGUCGUGGAGGCCCGAACCCACUUGGGUUGAAAACCGAGGGGAUGAGCUGUGGAUAGGGGUGAAAGGCCAAUCAAACUUCGUGAUAGCUGGUUCUCCCCGAAAUGCAUUUAGGUGCAGCGUCGUCUGUUUCUUGCCGGAGGUAGAGCACUGGAUGGUCUAGGGGGCCCACAAGCUUACCGAAAUCAGCCAAACUCCGAAUGCCGGUAAGUGAGAGGACGGCAGUGAGACUGUGGGGGAUAAGCUUCAUAGUCGAGAGGGAAACAGCCCAGAUCACCAGCUAAGGCCCCUAAGGGACUGCUAAGUGGAAAAGGAUGUGGAGUUGCGAUGACAACCAGGAGGUUGGCUUAGAAGCAGCCACCCUUGAAAGAGUGCGUAAUAGCUCACUGGUCAAGUGAUUCCGCGCCGACAAUGUAGCGGGGCUCAAGCAUACCGCCGAAGUUGUGUCAUUCGUACAUCAUCCCGGCCCUUACGGGUCCAGGAGUACGGAUGGGUAGGGGAGCGUCGUGUGGCGAGUGAAGCGGCGGGGUGACCCAGCCGUGGACGCCACACGAGUGAGAAUGCAGGCAUGAGUAGCGAAUGACGGGUGAGAAACCCGUCCGCCGAAUGACCAAGGGUUCCAGGGCCAGGCUAAUCCGCCCUGGGUAAGUCGGGACCUAAGACGAGGCCGACAGGCGUAGUCGAUGGACAACGGGUUGAUAUUCCCGUACCCGUGUAUAAGCGUCCCUGAUGAAUCACCGGUACUAACCACCCAAAACCGGAAUCACCGAUCACCUUCGGGUGUGAGGGUUUCUGGGGCUGCGUGGGACCUUCGGUGGUAGUAGUCAAGCGAUGGGGUGACGCAGGAAGGUAGUCCAACCAAGGCGAUGGUUGACCUGGGGUAAGGGUGUAGGGCGAGACGUAGGCAAAUCCGCGUCUCACAUGCCUGAGACCUGACGCCGAGCCGAUUAAGGCGAAGUGGAUGAUCCUAUGCUGCCAAGAAAAGCCUCUAGCGAGUUCUUAGCCGCCCGUACCCCAAACCGACACAGGUGGUCAGGUAGAGAAUACCAAGGCGAUCGAGUGAACUGUGGUUAAGGAACUCGGCAAAUUACCCCCGUAACUUCGGGAGAAGGGGGGCCCGUCAAGGUGUAGGAACUUGCUUCCGAAGCCUUGAUUGGCCGCAGAGACCAGGCCCAAGCGACUGUUUAUCAAAAACACAGGUCCGUGCGAAGUAGCAAUACGAUGUAUACGGACUGACGCCUGCCCGGUGCUGGAACGUUAAGGGGACGGGUUAGCAACUUCGGUUGCGAAGCUCAGAACUUAAGCGCCAGUAAACGGCGGUGGUAACUAUAACCAUCCUAAGGUAGCGAAAUUCCUUGUCGGGUAAGUUCCGACCUGCACGAA